GAUGAAGAACGUAGCGAAAUGCGAUAAGUAGUGUGAAUUGCAGAAUUCAGUGAAUCAUCGAAUCUUUGAACGCUCAUUGCGCCUCUUGGUAGUCCAUGGGGCAUGCCUGUUCGAGCGUCAUUUGUACCUUCAAGCUUUGCUUGGUGUUGGGUGUUUGUCUCGCCUUUGCGUGUAGACUCGCCUUAAAAUAAUUGGCAGCCGGCGUAUUGAUUUCGGAGCGCAGUACAUCUCGCGCUUUGCACUCAUAACGACAGCGUCCAAAAGUACAUUUUACACUCUUGACCUCGGAUCAGGUAGGGAUACCCGCUGAACUUAAGCAUAUCAAUAAGCGGAGGA
rnacentral:misc_RNA from 1 species